rnacentral:rRNA from 1 species
GACGAACGCUGGCGGCGUGCUUAACACAUGCAAGUCGAACGGAAAGGCCCUGCUUUUGUGGGGUGCUCGAGUGGCGAACGGGUGUGUAACACGUGAGUAACCUGCCCUUGACUUUGGGAUAACUUCAGGAAACUGGGGCUAAUACCGGAUAGGAGCUCCUGCUGCAUGGUGGGGGUUGGAAAGUUUCGGCGGUUGGGGAUGGACUCGCGGCUUAUCAGCUUGUUGGUGGGGUAGUGGCUUACCAAGGCUUUGACGGGUAGGCGGCCUGGGAGGGGGAACGGGGUCAUGGGGACUGAGGGAGGGAGCAGAAGGGAACGGGAGGCAGUGGGGGGAAAUAUGGCAGAAUGAGCGGGAGUCAGAGGCAGAAGCGCCGCGAGCGGGAUGACGGCCUUCGGGGGGAAAACCAAUGUCGCCGGUGACGAAGCGUGAGUGACGGUAAUGGGUAAAGAAGCACCGGCUAACUACGUG